UACUCUAGCCAUACCACCCUGAUCAUGCUCAAUCUCAUCUGAUCUCAGAAGCUAAGCUGGGUUGGGACUGGUCAGUACUUAGAUGGGAGACUCUGCCUGAAAUAAUGAGUGCUAUAGGGC
rnacentral:rRNA from 1 species